rnacentral:misc_RNA from 1 species
AGCAGCCGCGGUAAUUCCAGCUCCAAUAGCGUAUAUUAAAGUUGUUGCAGUUAAAAAGCUCGUAGUUGAAUUUCGGGGUUAGUAGGUUGGUCAUGCCUCUGGUAUGUACUGGUCUCACUGAUUCCUCCUUCCUGAUGAGCCGUAAUGCCAUUAAUUUGGUGUUGCGAGGAAUUUGGACUGUUACUUUGAAAAAAAUUUAGAGUGUUUAAAGUAAGCUAACGCUUGAAUACAUUAGCAUGGAAUAAUGAAAUAGGACGUUCGAUCCUAUUUUGUUGGUUUCUAGGAUUGACGUAAUGAUUAAUAGGGAUAGUUGGGGGCAUUAGUAUUCAAUUGUCAGAGGUGAAAUUCUUGGAUUUAUUGAAGACUAACUACUGCGAAAGCAUUUGCCAAGGAUGUUUUCAUUAAUCAAGAACGAAAGUUAGGGGAUCGAAGACGAUCAGAUACCGUCGUAGUCUUAACCAUAAACUAUGCCGACUAGGGAUCGGAUGAUGUUAAUUUUUU